UACGUAGGGUGCGAGCGUUAAUCGGAAUUACUGGGCGUAAAGUGUGCGCAGGCGGCCGCGCAAGUCGAGUGUGAAAUCCCCGAGCUUAACUUGGGAAUUGCGCUCGAAACUACUUUGCUGGAGUGUGGCAGAGGAAGGUGGAAUUCCACGUGUAGCGGUGAAAUGCGUAGAGAUGUGGAGGAACACCAAUGGCGAAGGCAGCCUUCUGGGCCAACACUGACGCUCAUGCACGAAAGCGUGGGGAGCAAACAGG
rnacentral:rRNA from 1 species